AUUGAACGCUGGCGGCAGGCCUAACACAUGCCAGUCGAGCGGAUGAAGGGAGCUUGCUCCUGGAUUCAGCGGCGGACGGGUGAGUAAUGCCUAGGAAUCUGCCUGGUAGUGGGGGAUAACGUCCGGAAACGGGCGCUAAUACCGCAUACGUCCUGAGGGAGAAAGUGGGGGAUCUUCGGACCUCACGCUAUCAGAUGAGCCUAGGUCGGAUUAGCUAGUUGGUGGGGUAAAGGCCUACCAAGGCGACGAUCCGUAACUGGUCUGAGAGGAUGAUCAGUCACACUGGAACUGAGACACGGUCCAGACUCCUACGGGAGGCAGCAGUGGGGAAUAUUGGACAAUGGGCGAAAGCCUGAUCCAGCCAUGCCGCGUGUGUGAAGAAGGUCUUCGGAUUGUAAAGCACUUUAAGUUGGGAGGAAGGGCAGUGAGUUAAUACCUUGCUGUUUUGACGUUACCAACAGAAUAAGCACCGGCUAACUUCGUG
rnacentral:rRNA from 1 species